UGCUGGUCCGAGUGCAGUGGUGUUUACAACUAACUGAUCACAACCAGUUCCAGAUUUCUUUGUUCCUUCCCCACUGCACUGCUUCACUUGACUAGUCUUUA
rnacentral:Y_RNA from 1 species